CUUUCUCCCUUCCAUUACUAUUACUUAUCUAUUGUUUUUUCUUUUCUUUUAAGUGUUUAUACAUGUAUUAGUCACCGCCUAGCAAAACACCUAGGAACGCCUAGGCGCGAUUACUCCCGACUAGGCGCUAGGCGGAGGGUCAGCGCCUAGAUUCCGCCUAGCGCCUAGCUGAUCUUUGGCAGUGCUGUACUAUUACAUUAAUUUGAGGACACAAUUACAGGCAUAGUCACAAGAAAAAAAUGAGCUAGUAUCUGAACUUCUGAUUUUACUGCAUUUGUCAUGUUUUGUGUAAGUCUAAUUUUACUGCUUGGAU
rnacentral:lncRNA from 1 species